AUGAGGGGAGACUGGGGCCCUUUUUGUGAGGUCAUCAUGUCUGGUGGUGUUCUGUGGUCACCUGAGUCCUCCUGGGUUCUCCCGAGCUCUGAUAGCAGAUACUACUCCUUCCCUUGGGUAGAGUCUGUCACAGCUCUACCGCUACUAGUUCCAGGUUAUUGCACCAUCCCCAUGGGGUUCCUUUGUACCCACACAUUUGUAGAAAUACCCAACGUUCCUGGUGCUCUGUUUCCUGUUGAUUGACAUGGGUGGGAGAGAGGAGGUCUUGUCACUGCAACUCAGGAGAGACUCCUGGAGCUGGGAGGAGGCCAGUGGAGGGCAGAUAAGGAGAUGGAGGCUUGGAGAGUCAUCACAGCCCAGACCACACAGUGAGCAGAGAGAAAGACUGGCCAGAGUUCCUCCAGAGCCUCCUGGGGGCCUUGCGGCAUCAUAGGCCCUCUGAUGUUUUUCCUACUCUGCCAGCCCUGGGAAAGACCCACCUCCUUCCUCUGGGACCAACACCUGAGGCUUCGUUGGACGAAUGCAUUUCUUCCAUGCGCUGGGUCUUGGUGUCACUGGCUGUGCAGAGGAGAGGAGAGAACAUAGACUUCGGGGUGGAAAGCUAUGGAUCUGGCUUCUGCAGGAAGGGGACAAGAUGUUCCCAGGAACUGAACUUCUUCCAGGCUCACAGGACUGAGUCUGGCCAUUUUUGCCCCCCAGAUAUGGGUUUGGAGUUAAGGCUCACUCACUGAGGAAAAAGCUGUUUGCUAAGCCUUU